rnacentral:lncRNA from 1 species
UUUGAAGGGUUUGGAGUUAAAUUUUGAGGUCUAGAAUUUGAAGUAUGGUAUAAGGUAUGGGGUUAAGUUUUGGGAUUUAGAGUUUGAAGUACACCAAAUAUAUAAACUAUUAUAUAUAUAAUGAAAGGUGAUCCACACCUUUGUGAAAUGAAUCAAGAAAAAUAAAAUCAUUUGUGAUUAGGGUUAAGGGUUUGACAUUAAAAUUAUAAAACUAGAAUUGAAAGAUUAUUAGAUUUAUGUUAUAGUUUUAAAAGAUAAGAUUUAUGACUUGGUAUGUAGGGUUUAAGCUUGGGGGCUAUGGUAUAAUAUUUAGGGUGAAGUUUCGAAUUUAAGAAUUAAAAAUGUAGAGCUUAAAGUUUGGAUUAUGGAUCAAAAGUAAAAUUUAAAAUAAAAUUUGAAAAAUUAGAUUGUACUUUAUAUUUAAGAUUUAGUGUUUUAAGUUUUAAAAUA